rnacentral:rRNA from 1 species
GUGAGUCAUCGAAUCUUUGAACGCAACUUGCGCCCCCCGGGGCAUGUCUGCCUGAGUGUCGCAUAAAACGUAUUGCUGAUUGAUUGGCGAUUGCUGAUCGAUCAGUGAUGAAUUGGGCAGGUCGCACUGCCUGAAAUGGAGCAAGAGGAGGGGCGACGUGUUCCUGCGUGCGUGCUAUAAACCAAUGCGUAGUGGUUGAGAGACCAAUGCGUAGUGGCUGAGGUUUGGUCACACAGAACUCGCAUCCAUCCAACUCAUUUCACUCUCUGACCUCAGGUCAGGCAAGACUACCCGCUGAACUUAAGCAUAUCAAUAACGCGGAGGU